rnacentral:misc_RNA from 1 species
GAUGAAGAACGCAGCGAAAUGCGAUACUUGGUGUGAAUCGCAGAAUCCCGUGAACCAUCGAGUCUUUGAACGCAAGUUGCGCCCGAAGCCAUUAGGCCGAGGGCACGCCUGCCUGGGCGUCACACGUCGUUGCCCCCCCAUCUACUCCUUCGGGAUUGCGGGGGGCGGAUGAUGGCCUCCCGUGCGCCUCGCCGCGCGGUUGGCAUAAAUGCCAAGUCCUCGGCGACGCACGCCACGACAAUCGGUGGUUGCGAAACCUCGGUUGCCCGUCGUGUGCGGUCGUCGCGCAUCGAGGGCUCGAAAAAAUUGCCGGGUUCCGGCUCGGCUUUCAACGCGACCCCAGGUCAGGCGGGGUUACCCGCUGAAUUUAAGCAUAUCAAUAAGCGGAGGA